rnacentral:lncRNA from 1 species
GGGGGCUAGACCUUUUUGUUUGUUUGUUUUAGACAGAGGUUUGCUCUUGUUGCCCAGAGACUCUGUCUCCAAAAAAAAAAAGAAUUGACUAACAGUGUCAGAGGGUUCAAUUAUGAUAUCACAACUACAGUUAUAUAACAGCCAGGCAAUACAGCAAUUCUAUGUACAUGCAUUGCCCUUAGUUAUGUAGUUCACUAUGCAUGAAAUAUAAAACACAGACUGUAUACUGGGAAAAUUUAUAAACUGGGAUCAGAGAAAACAUUUUAUAAAACAAAUUGCACAAUAAAAACAUAAAAAAUAUGAUGCAGGCUCCCUGGUCUGAGUGUUCAUAUUGGCCAAAAGCCAUGUUCAGAGUUCUUAUUCUCCAAUUGGAUGUUCCUGCAGAUGGGGCCUUUGAGAGAAUUUGGUCAUGGGUGUUGACUACAUAUGAAUAAGACUGGUGCUUUUAUUUAUAUUUUUUCUUUCUUUCUUUCUUUAUUUUUGAGAUGGAGUUUUUCUCUUGUUGCCCAGGCUAGAGUGCAAUGGCAUGAUCUUGGCUCACUGCAACCUCCACCUCCAGGGAUCAAAUGAUCCUACUGCCUCAGCCUCCCAUGCAGCUGAGAUUUCAGGCAUGUUACACCACACCCAGGUAAUUUUUGUACUUUUAGUAGGGAAAGGGUUUCACCAUGUUGGCCAGGCUGCUCUCAAACUCCUGACCUCAGGUGAUCCACCAGUCUCAGCCUCCCAAAGUGCUGAGAUUACCUGACUGGUCUCAAACUCUGGACCUCAAGUGAUCUACCCACCUUGGCCUCCCAAAGUGCUGGCAUUAGAGGUGUUAGCCACUGUGGCCAGCCAGUCUAAGCUAUUUCUAACAGGACAGUGAAAUGAGGGAGACAGGAAAAGGAGCAUGCCAUCAUCAACAUCAGGGAAGGCUGACAUAUCUUAUUACACAAAGGAAGUUUAGAGCCUGUAGCAUAAAACCUGCAAUAUGUGAAGCCAUCUAAUAGCAUUAAUUUGUUUUAAAACCCUGGAGGCAGCCAGGCACCGUGGCUCAUGCCUGUAAUUCCAGCACUUUGGGAGACCGAGGCGGGUGGAUCUCCUGAGGUCGGGAGCUUGAGAGCAGUCUGACUAACAUGGAAAAACACCAUCUCUAAUACAAAUACAAAAUUAGCUGGGUGUGGUGGUACACGCCUGUAAUCCCAGCUACUUGGGAGCCUCAGGCAGGAGAAUCGCUUGAACCUGGGAGGCAGAGGUUGCGGUGAGCCGAGAUUGCGCCAUUGCACUCCAGCCUGGGAAACAAGAACGAAACUCCGUCUCAAAAAAAAAAAAAAAUCUGGAGGCAAAUUAACAUUAUUUCUCAAAUAAGUACAGCAGGCCAGUGUGUUCAUGUACAUGACCCCAAUUUGCACAUACGCUAAGUGAGGGACAAACUUGAUCAUGGGCCUGAAGGAUCCCAUGUUUUUAAGCACAGUAGUCUGCCAAGAAAGUACAGAAAAUGACCAGUCACAGAAAAUACAAGAACAGAAAGAAGUAUGAUGAAUUAAUGGGUGCAGCACACCAACAUGGAACAUGUAUACAUGUGUAACAAACCUGCACGUUGUGCACAUGUACCCUAGAACUUAAAGUAUAAUAAAAAAAGUGUAUAUAUAUAUAUAUAUAUAUAUAUAUAGAGAGAGAGAGAGAGAGAGAGAGAGAGAGAGAGAGAGAGAGAGAGAGAGAGAGAACAGAUAGAAGUACAUCAAGGGGGAUACAAGGGCUGAGCUGGGACACAAGCGCUGAGCUGCGCUGCUGACAGUGGUUCUGAAGCCAUCCCUCAUGGAUCAUGUGCUGAGUCAUGAUGCCCUGCACACACUGAUUUAAGCGGCCUCCUAUAAUUUUGUCCAGUGGAUGAAUAAGGUCUUGACUUACUCAGUGAGAGUAGUGUUGGAGGGGAGGGGCUCAUGGGGAAAUUGGGGUGUUCACUAUUACAAAAUCAAUAGGCUGGAAAGCAACAGUAUUUUGCAUCCAAAUCAAUGUACCAUGUGAAGCAAGGCCAGGAAAAGGAGGGCAAGGGUGGAGGGCAGGAAUGGGCACGUAGGAGUGAACUUUGUGCAUGCACAUCUGUGGGAAUAUAAUUCCACUGGGAUAGACCAAGUUUUGAGCUUGGAGGAAAAUGGAACUAAUUUAGCAAAUGGUAAAAUACUGACCCAAGGUUAACUAUGCAAAUUACAAUAUGGGCAAGGGACAAGAAUGAACAAGAUCCAAAAAAUCAGCAGUAUGGUGGCCUGAGGUGAAAGCAGUUUUACAUCUCUUAGGUAAAAUGGCCUCUGAUUUCUAGUUUCAAGCAUAUACUCAAAAAUAUGCCUUGUGUAGAUUCCAGAAUUUCAUACACACAAAAAAAAUGAGUAAAGUCUACGAGGAGUACAGCAAUGUAGAGACCAUGGAUGUGAAGAAGGAUCCCUUGGCUGAGUAUGAAGAGAUGUGUCUGUGAAAACAGAGGCAGGCCAAGCACAGUGGCUCAUGCCUGUAAUAAUAAUAAUAUUAAUAAUUAUGACGUUUUUUAAUUUUUUUUUUUUUGAGAAGGAGUGUCACUCUAUCACCCAGGCAGGAGUGCAGUGGCACAAUCUUGGCUCACUGCAACUUCUUCCACCCAGGUUCAAGCAAUUCUCUUACCUCAGCCUCCCGAGUAGCUGGCAUUACAGUCACCUGCCACCAGGCCUGGCUAAUUUUUAGUUGAGAUGGCAUUUCACCAUUUUGCCCAGGCUGAUCUCAAACUCCUGACCUUGUGAUUCACCCACCUGGGCCUCCCAAAGUGCUGGGAUUACAGGCGUGAGCCACCUCACCCGGCCAAUCCUUACUAAUAACUCAUCAUUGUGAUAGUUAACAAAAAUGAAAAAUACUUACAAUCAUAACAACUAUAAAAAAUAUACCUUAUUGCAAAUCAAGUGUUUUCUACAUAAACCAUGGGCUUAUCCAUCCAUGUAUUCAUGCACACACAUCACAUCAUGCCGUUACAAGCGUGGUGGCGUGCAUCUCUAAUCCCAGCUACUCGAGAGGCUCAGGCAACAGAAUCACUGUAAUCUGGAAGGUGGAAGCUACAGUGAGCCAAAAUCUCACCACUGCACUCCAUCCUGGGUGAUAGAGGGAGACUCAACUCAAAAAAAGAAAAAAAUAAUAAAAUCAAUGAUGUGAUAAAGCACCCUGUACCACUGACGUGUAUCUUCACUUUCCAUUCCAUUCCUGAAGGGGUGGCCUGCCCCUCCACACCUGUGGGCAUUUCUCGUCAGGUGGAACGGAGAGAUUUGAGAAAAGAAAGAGACAUAGAGACAAAGUACAGAGAAAGAAAAGUAGGCCUACAGGACCAGCACUCAGCAUACAGAGGACCCGCGCCUGCACCGGCCUCUGAGUUCCCUCAGUAUUUAUUGAUCAUUAUCUCUACCAUCUCGGAGAGGGGGAUGUGGCAGGACAAUAAGGUAAUAGUGGAGAGAGGGUCAGCAGGAAAACCUGAACAAAUGUCUCUGUCAUAAACAAGGUAAAGGAAAAAGUGCUGUGCUUUUGAUGUGCAUAUACAUAAACAUCUCAAUGCCUUAAAGAGCAGUACUGCCUCCAGCAUGUCUCACCUCCAGCUCUAAGGCAGUUUUCUCCUAUCUCAGUAGAUGGAAUAUACAAUUGGGCUUUACACCGAGACAUUCCAUUGUCCAGGGACCAGCAGGAGACAGAUGCCUUCCUCUUACCUCAACUGCAAAGAGGCCUUCCUCUUUUACUAAUCCUCCUCAGCACAGACCCUUUACGGGUGUUGGGCUGGGGGAUGGUCAGGUCUUUCCCUUCCCAUGAGGCCAUAUCUCAGGCUAUCACAUGGGAGAAACUUUGGACAAUACCUGGCUUUCCUAGGCAGAGGUUCCUGCGGCCUUUCGCAGUGUUCUGUGUCCCUGGGUACUUGAGAGUAAGGAGUGGUGAUGACUUUUAACAAGCACGCUGUCUUCUAGCAUUUGUUUAACAAAGCACAUCCUGAACAGCCCUUAAUCCAUUUAACCUUGAGUUGACACAGCACAUGUUUCUGCCAGCACAGGGUUGGGGCUAGGGUUACAGAUUCACAGCAUCUCAAGGCAGAAGAAUUUUUCUUAGUACAGAACAAAAUGUAGUCUCUUAUGUCUACUUCUUUCUACAUAGACACAGUAACAGUCUGAUCUCUCUCUUUUCCCCACAAUUCCAAGUCAUUAAAAGUUCAGAUGCUGCCAGGCAUGGUGGCUCAUGCCUGUAAUCCCAGCACUUUGGGAGGCCGAGGCGGGCGGAUCACGAGGUCAGGAGUUCAAGACCAGCCUGGCCAAUAUGGUGAAACUCUGUCUCUACUAAAAAUAUAAAAAUUAGCUGGGCGUGGUGGCACACGCCUAUAGUCCCAGCUACUCGGGAGGCUGAGGCACAAGAAUCGCUUGAACCUGGGAGGUGGAAGUUGCAGUGAGCCGAGAUCACACCACUGCACUCCAGCCUGGGUGACAGAGUGAGAUUCUGUCUCAAAAAAAAUAAAUAAAACAAAGUUCAGAUGCCGGGCGCGGUGGCUCACGCCUGUAAUCCCAGCACUUUGGGAGGCCGAGGCAGGCGGAUCACGAGGUCAGGAGAUCGAGACCAGGGUGAAACCCCGCCUCUACUAAAAAUACAAGGCGCGGUGGCGGGCGCCUGUAGUCCCAGCUACUCCGGAGGCUGAGGCAGGAGAAUGGCGUGAACCCAGGAGGCGGAGCUUGCAGUGAGCCGAGAUUGCGCCACUGCACUCCAGCCUGGGCAACAGAGCGAGACUCUGUCUCAAAAAAAAAAAAAAAAGAAAGAAAGAAAAUUCUAAUUACAACUGGGCACUCCUACCCUCAAAAAAAAAAAAAAAAAAAAAAAAAAAGCCACACCUAGACGCGCACUCCAUUUUGCCAGUCAUUUCAGGGGUCAGAGUCACUCGGGCUGAGCUUUUCUGGUGAAGCCCCUCAUCGCCAAGUUGCAGGGAGGCUCACAUUUUCACCAAGUUACACUGACAAGGUCUGAGAUGAGUGAGAAGGUGUGUGUGAAGUCUUACAUGGGGGCCUGGAAGGGCUAAUGGGAGGGGUUGGUCUUAUCACCCACAUCCUUGAAAAUCAGAGAAGCAUCUUACGCAUACCUAUGCUAAAGAAACUUCUUUUGCAAGAUUCUGAUGACAUUGAUUCCCGACAGUUAAUUCUUCCUUACAAGAAAAUCACAGUAACAUUUAUAAAAUGCAGAAGUGUGAACACACAGCUAUUGACCUUGAAAACAGUGAAAGAAGGUCAACUGUAGAACUGAGACAUAAGCAAAUUAUUUCAAUCAAGAAUACAUGAGUCUUCAGGCACGAUGGCUCACGCCUGUAAUCCUAGCACUUUGGGAGGGCAAGGUCGGCAGAUCGCCUGAAGUCAGGAGUUCGAGACCAGCUUGGCCCACAUGGUAAAACCCUGUCUCUACUAACAAUGCAAAAAAUUAGCCGGGAGUGGUGGAGGGCACCUGUAAUCCCAACUACUCGGUAUGCUGAGGCAGGAGAAUGCCUUGAACCCGGGAGGCAGACGUUGCAGUGACACCAGAUCGCACCAUUGCACUCCAGCCUGAACAACAAGAGCAAAACUCCAUCUCAAAAAAAAAAAAAGAGGCGGGGCACGGUGGCUCAUGCCUGUAAUCCCAGCACCUUGGGAGGCCAGGUCUGGCGGAUCACGAGGUCAGGAGUUUGAGACCAGCCUGACAAACAUGGUGAAACCCUGUCUCUACUAAAAAUAUAAAAAUUAGCCAGGUGUGCUGGUAGGUGCCUGUAAUUUCAGCUACUCAGGAGACUGAGGCAGGAGAAUCACUUGAUGCCGGGAGGCAGAGGUUGCAGAGCUGAGAUCGCACCACUGCACUCCAUCCAAGGCGACAGAGCGAGACUCCAUUUAAAAAAAAACAAACAAACAAAGCAAAAGAAUACAUGGGUGCUUUUGGAGGAGCAUUCUAUGCCACUCCAGCCCAUGUUUCAACAUUUUUCCAGAAUGGUCCAGAGGGCCUUGAGAGAAACACGCAAUAAAUAGCUCCCAGCUGAAGAUUUUAACAAAUGACAUAAGGAAAGGAAACUGAAAACCAGACUAACUGGUUAAAAUACAUUUUUUUAUUUAUAAUUUUUUUUUUUAAUAGACGGAGUCUCACUCUGUCUCCCAGGCUGGAGUUGCAAUGGUGCUAUCUGGGCUUACUGCAAGCUCCACCUCCUGGGUUCACCCGCCAUUCUCCUGCCUCUCAAAAAAAUAAAAAAUAGAAAAUAAGAAACAAGACCGGGUACGGUGGCUCAUGCCUGUAAUCCCAGGACUUUGGGAUGCCAAGGUGGGCAGAUCACCUGAGGUUGGGAGUUCAAGACCAGCCUAAUAUGGAGAAACCCCGUCUCUACUACAAAUACAAAAAAUUAGCCGGGUGUGGUGGCACAUGCCUGUAAUCCCAGCAACUAGGGAGGCUGAGGCAGAGGAAUCGCUUGAACCCGGGAGGCGGAGGUUGUGGUGAGCUGAGAUCACAUCAUUGCACUCUAGGCUGGGCAACAAGAGUGACACUCCAUCUCAAAAUAAAUAAAUAAAUAAAUAAGAAAAUAAGAAACAAAAAACAGGAUGGCGAAAGUGGCCGACAUCUGUUGGCCAUGGUGGUUUCAAACUUC